rnacentral:rRNA from 1 species
GUCUACAGUCAUGCCAGCCUGAACGUGCCCGAUCUCGUCUGAUCUCAGAAGCUAAGCAAGGUUGGGCUCAGUUAGUACUUGGAUGGGAGACCACCGAGAAAUACCACGUGCUGUAGGUG